rnacentral:tRNA from 1 species
UCCUGGUGGCUCAGAUGGUAAAGAAUCUGCCUGCAAUGCAGGAGACCCAGGUUCAAUCCCUGGAUUGGGAA